CUACGGGGCGCUGCAGUGAGGAAUAUUGCGCAAUGGGGGAAACCCUGACGCAGCGACGCCGCGUGGAUGAUGAAGGCCUUAGGGUCGUAAAAUCCUGUCAGGUGGGAAAAAGUGGAUAUAGAUUAAUACUCUAUUUCUUUGACGGUACCACCAAAGGAAGCACCGGCUAACUCCGUGCCAGCAGCCGCGGUAAUACGGAGGGUGCAAACGUUGUUCGGAAUUACUGGGCGUAAAGCGCGCGUAGGCGGUUUGUUAAGUCAGAUGUGAAAGUCCAUGGCUCAACUACGGAAGUGCAUUUGAAACUGGCAGACUUGAGUACUGGAGGGGGUGAUGGAAUUCCCGGUGUAGAGGUGAAAUUCGUAGAUAUCGGGAGGAAUACCGGUGGCGAAGGCGAUCACCUGGCCAGAUACUGACGCUGAGGUGCGAAAGCGUGGGGAGCAAACAGGAUUAGAUACCCCUGUAGUC
rnacentral:rRNA from 1 species